AUGGUGGACCGUGAGAGCGAUACCUACAGUUGCGAAUGUGCCAUGUUUGAGCACAUGGGUAUCCUUUGUCAGCAUGCUCUGAAGGUGAUGGUGCACGUUGGUGUGUGCCGAAUCCCUAGUCAUUACAUUUUGAAAAGGUGGAGUAGGGAUGCCCGUGAUGUUCUUCCUGAUCACUUAAAAUGUUAUCAGAAGGACUCGGACCUAGGGGUGUCUAAGACGUUUAGGCACAACAUUUUAUAUGUGCGUGCUCUGCAGGUUGUCAAGCUUGGCAAUAUGAGCAUCCCGCUCUUCAACCACGCCGUGCAACGACUGCUAGCCCUGGAGAAAGAACUGAAUGCCAUGGCUGCGGAAGAAGCAGAAAACAAAUCAGCUGGCUUGUGCGGGUCUGAAACUUUGAGGUGCACGUCUCCUGCUACCCUUUCUGAAGAAAUUCCGAACUCAGGGGCAUAUGCCGGUGAAGCUGCGCCCCCUGAUCUCACGUCUGAACCGGUCGACAUCCCUUUGCCACCGCAGAGAAUGCCCCCUGACCUUGCGUCUGAUCCCGUCGAUGCUCCUUUGCCGCCGCAAAGAAGGCCCUCUCGUGGUCGUCCAAAAUCUCAGAGGAUGAAAUCGGUGCUGGAGCAAAAAGGGAAGCCAGCGGCGACCUGCGCCGUGUGCGGUUCUAAAGAACACCAUACCGAGGAAUGUGAAUGUCUGCAGAUGCCUGAGCGCAGCGAUGGCAGCGAAGACAGUGAGCCUGAACAUCCAGACCCCGUACCGUCAGGUUUGUGUGUUCGUAGGGCACAGCCGAUGAGGACCAACAAAAGGCAGUCUGAAACUGAAGCUUCAGAUGUGUGUGUCAGUAAGACUGCCGCUGCACCAUGGUUUUCUCGAGGAACAACGCAGCAUCAUGGUCUCCGCCACAAUGGGGCGUCUUCGUCAGCCAAUGACAUUGAUCGCACACCAAAGAUGAAGCCUCCCGCUCCACCACGCAGAUGCAGCGUCUGUGGCAAGAAAGGACACUAA
rnacentral:rRNA from 1 species